rnacentral:pre_miRNA from 2 species
AGUAGAAUUGCUGGGUCAUAUGGUAACUCUAUGUUUAACUUUUUGAGAACCUGCCAAAUUGUUUUCCAAAGUGGCUGUACUGUUUUAUAUUCCCACCAACAAU